rnacentral:rRNA from 1 species
AUGGCGACGGCGCACGGGUGAGGUAACACGUAUCCAACCUGCCGAUGACUCGGGGAUAGCCUUUCGAAAGAAAGAUUAAUACCCGAUGGCAUAGUUCUUCCGCAUGGUGGAACUAUUAAAGAAUUUCGGUCAUCGAUGGGGAUGCGUUCCAUUAGGUUGUUGGCGGGGUAACGGCCCACCAAGCCUUCGAUGGAUAGGGGUUCUGAGAGGAAGGUCCCCCACAUUGGAACUGAGACACGGUCCAAACUCCUACGGGAGGCAGCAUG